rnacentral:rRNA from 1 species
GGGGUGUGACUGCGUACCUUUUGUAUAAUGGGUCAGCGACUUAUAUUCUGUAGCAAGGUUAACCGAAUAGGGGAGCCGAAGGGAAACCGAGUCUUAACUGGGCGUUAAGUUGCAGGGUAUAGACCCGAAACCCGGUGAUCUAGCCAUGGGCAGGUUGAAGGUUGGGUAACACUAACUGGAGGACCGAACCGACUAAUGUUGAAAAAUUAGCGGAUGACUUGUGGCUGGGGGUGAAAGGCCAAUCAAACCGGGAGAUAGCUGGUUCUCCCCGAAAGCUAUUUAGGUAGCGCCUCGUGAACUCAUCUUCGGGGGUAGAGCACUGUUUCGGCUAGGGGGUCAUCCCGACUUACCAACCCGAUGCAAACUGCGAAUACCGAAGAAUGUUAUCACGGGAGACACACGGCGGGUGCUAACGUCCGUCGUGAAGAGGGAAACAACCCAGACCGCCAGCUAAGGUCCCAAAGUCAUGGUUAAGUGGGAAACGAUGUGGGAAGGCACAGACAGCCAGGAUGUUGGCUUAGAAGCAGCCAUCAUUUAAAGAAAGCGUAAUAGCUCACUGGUCGAGUCGGCCUGCGCGGAAGAUGUAACGGGGCUAAACCAUGCACCGAAGCUGCGGCAGCGACACUAUGUGUUGUUGGGUAGGGGAGCGUUCUGUAAGCCGUUGAAGGUGUGUCGUGAGGCAUGCUGGAGGUAUCAGAAGUGCGAAUGCUGACAUAAGUAACGAUAAUGCGGGUGAAAAACCCGCACGCCGGAAGACCAAGGGUUCCUGUCCAACGUUAAUCGGGGCAGGGUGAGUCGACCCCUAAGGCGAGGCCGAAAGGCGUAGUCGAUGGGAAACAGGUUAAUAUUCCUGUACUUGGUGUUACUGCGAAGGGGGGACGGAGAAGGCUAUGUUAGCCGGGCGACGGUUGUCCCGGUUUAAGCAUGUAGGCGGAGGUUCCAGGUAAAUCCGGUACCUUAUUAACGCUGAGGUGUGAUGACGAGGCACUACGGUGCUGAAGUAACAAAUGCCCUGCUUCCAGGAAAAGCCUCUAAGCAUCAGGUAACACGAAAUCGUACCCCAAACCGACACAGGUGGUCAGGUAGAGAAUACCAAGGCGCUUGAGAGAACUCGGGUGAAGGAACUAGGCAAAAUGGUGCCGUAACUUCGGGAGAAGGCACGCUGAUAUGUAGGUGAAGUGAUUUACUCAUGGAGCUGAAAUCAGUCGAAGAUACCAGCUGGCUGCAACUGUUUAUUAAAAACACAGCACUGUGCAAACACGAAAGUGGACGUAUACGGUGUGACGCCUGCCCGGUGCCGGAAGGUUAAUUGAUGGGGUUAUCCGUAAGGAGAAGCUCUUGAUCGAAGCCCCGGUAAACGGCGGCCGUAACUAUAACGGUCCUAAGGUAGCGAAAUUCCUUGUCGGGUAAGUUCCGACCUGCACGAAUGGCGUAAUGAUGGCCAGGCUGUCUCCACCCGAGACUCAGUGAAAUUGAACUCGCUGUGAAGAUGCAGUGUACCCGCGGCAAGACGGAAAGACCCCGUGAACCUUUACUAUAGCUUGACACUGAACACUGGUCCUUGAUGUGUAGGAUAGGUGGGAGGCUUUGAAGUGUGGACGCCAGUCUGCAUGGAGCCAUCCUUGAAAUACCACCCUUUAAUGGCUGGUGUUCUAACGUAGACCCGU